CUGCAAUUCAAUUGCACCAUUCAAGAUAAACCAAUGUCAAAGAAUACACAUAAAAACAUGUAUGCAUGCGCAUGCGCAUGCAUAUGCAUAUGAAAAUAAAAAUAAAAAUAAAAAUCAUAUGCUGUCAAAUUGGGAAACUUUCUACUGAAAUUUAGCAAGAGCAUGAAAAAUUGAGCAUUUCUUGUCACAAACCUUUCUAAAACCUUUUUCAUAGCAGAAGUACUUACUGCUUCUCUGGGGAAACAAGUCAGUAUAGCAGAAACAAAUAGAAGAUUUAAAUUAAAUCCUUUUGGGAGAAUUAGAUAGUGAAGUGUCCUGAAAUUUUAUGAAAUUCAGGCAUAAAUCCUCACUUAGCCUGUUUGGUAUGCACAAAAAAAGUCAACUGCGGCCCUGCUAGGAGGGGAUUUUAUUCUGCAUAAUGGCCCUACCAUUAUCACAGAAAAUUUAUUUUCCUUCAUCUCCAACACAACAAAAUAAACUACAGUGCCCUGCUCCGGCUUAAUGUGACAGUUAUAAACCACCACCACAUUAAAGCCUUGGCUAAAAAUAUACAUAAGAUGCAUGUGGUUUGUGCGCUGACCCAAAUCUGAUCCAUAUUUAGUUAUUUACAUGGACUUGUUUAGUGUUUAUAAUGUCUUGUGAAAGAGAAUUACAAAAUGAAGAAUAAGUUCAGCUUCAUAUUAAAAUAGAAGAAAUUUUAGUUCAUUCAUUACAGCUAAAAUAAUAAAAUUCUAUCACCAGCCUCCACAUUCGAAUUUUGGACAUGCAAUCAAACACUCCUGACACAUUAGAACACACUCAUUAAAUACAAAAAGAGGUUCUUAAGCAAAAAUAGAAGAUUAACAUGUACAGGAAACAGCACUUCAAAUACCACAUAUAUGCUGCAAAGUCAAUAGACCUUAAGGACCAUUACAUGGUACUUAACUGGACCAUGACCAAAUGCUUUUCUUUCCCCUUUUUUUGCAUACCAUAUAAUAAUAACAGCAAUUAUUUUGGCAAUCAACAUGCCACAGGUAAAUAGGUUCCAACAACAGAUAUUGAGAGGGAAAAAAAAAAUCAAAAGAGUCCGUAAGUACCACAUAAUCAGGCAAUCAGCACAAGUUAAUUUCAAAACAUGGCAAAGACUACCAUCUAAAAGUGCAUUGUAGUAGUUCAAUUGUGUUCGCUUUGAGAAUCUUACUUAAUAAGAAACUAUGUGUAAUAAAUUCAAAAACAAGAAACAAUAGGGAAGUAUUUUAAACAUACCAGAAUAGCACAAUAAUGACUACUAUUCAAGCCAUCAAAAGACAAUAGGACGAUCAAAUGAGGGGCAUUAAGCUUAAUAGCUUAAUAGCUUCCCUAUGCACCACAUGAAUGAGCAUCUGUCGAAGCCUGAACCUUUGUCAUUAAGGAGUUUAUACCCAGUGCAGAAAAAGCAGCGCAU
rnacentral:misc_RNA from 1 species